rnacentral:tRNA from 1 species
GGGGGAUUAACUCAGUGGGAGAGUGCUACCUUCACACGGUAGAAGUCGCCAGUUCGAAACUGGCAUUCCCCACCA